rnacentral:rRNA from 1 species
UACAGAGGGUGCAAGCGUUGUUCGGAAUUACUGGGCGUAAAGCGCACGUAGGCGGCUUUGUAAGUUAGAGGUGAAAGCCCGGAGCUCAACUCCGGAAUUGCCUUUAAGACUGCAUCGCUCGAAUCAUGGAGAGGUGAGUGGAAUUCCGAGUGUAGAGGUGAAAUUCGUAGAUAUUCGGAAGAACACCAGUGGCGAAGGCGACUCACUGGACAUGUAUUGACGCUGAGGUGCGAAAGCGUGGGGAGCAAACAGG